rnacentral:snRNA from 1 species
AAACGACUUAGAUGAUCAGUUCA